GUUUUAUUCUAGAGUAUCAUGAGACUCAUAAGAUACCCUAGGUCUUCGGGGCUUCCUCUUCGGUGGGUCCCUGCUGGGUUUCUGAAAACAACAACAAGGGAUCCCCUGAGUACGAAGUACUCAGCAAGUCUUACCCGACUAACCAAUAUAAUAGCUUUCUUUGGAAGUGUAUGCUUAGCUUUUUGGUGUACUUGGCUAAUGCAAUUUUUGCCGAAAAGCUUACUACAAGUGAUACCUUAGUUUUAUCUUUUAUUUGGGUUAAGUUAUUACCUAACCAUUCUAAAUGAUAGCAGAAGUAAAAACAACCACAGCUGUUAAGUCAUACAUUACUUGACAACAGGAGAUUUUAUAUUGCAUGAAUUGAUACUACGAUGCUCAACAGUGAUCAAGUGCAUUCAUAACCGAGAAUUGCGGCGAUCCGGAUCUAAUUACAUCCUGCAGGAGAGUACCCUGAUCACCAGCUAUAUACGACUGU
rnacentral:lncRNA from 1 species